AUUGAACGCUGGCGGCAUGCUUUACACAUGCAAGUCGAACGGUAACAGGGUGCUUGCACCGCCGACGAGUGGCGAACGGGUGAGUAAUGCGUCGGAACGUGCCGAGUAGUGGGGGAUAACGCAGCGAAAGUUGUGCUAAUACCGCAUACGUACUGAGGUAGAAAGUGGGGGACCUUCGGGCCUCACGCUAUUCGAGCGGCCGACGUCUGAUUAGCUAGUAGGUGAGGUAAAGGCUCACCUAGGCGACGAUCAGUAGCGGGUCUGAGAGGAUGAUCCGCCACACUGGGACUGAGACACGGCCCAGACUCCUACGGGAGGCAGCAGUGGGGAAUUUUGGACAAUGGGCGAAAGCCUGAUCCAGCCAUGCCGCGUGUCUGAAGAAGGCCUUCGGGUUGUAAAGGACUUUUGUCGGGGAGGAAAUCCCCAGCGUUAAUACCGCUGGGGGAUGACAGUACCUGAAGAAUAAGCACCGGCUAACUACGUGCCAGCCGCCGCGGUAAGAC
rnacentral:rRNA from 1 species